GAUGAACGCUGGCGGCGUGCCUAAUACAUGCAAGUCGAGCGAACAGACGAGGAGCUUGCUCCUCUGACGUUAGCGGCGGACGGGUGAGUAACACGUGGAUAACCUACCUAUAAGACUGGGAUAACUUCGGGAAACCGGAGCUAAUACCGGAUAAUAUAUUGAACCGCAUGGUUCAAUAGUGAAAGACGGUUUUGCUGUCACUUAUAGAUGGAUCCGCGCCGCAUUAGCUAGUUGGUAAGGUAACGGCUUACCAAGGCAACGAUGCGUAGCCGACCUGAGAGGGGGGUCGGCCACACUGGAACUGAGACACGGUCCAGACUCCUACGGGAGGCAGCAGUAGGGAAACUUCCGCAAUGGGCGGAAGCCUGACGGAGCAACGCCGCGUGAGUGAUGAAGGUCUUCGGAUCGUAAAACUCUGUUAUUAGGGAAGAACAAAUGUGUAAGUAACUAUGCACGUCUUGACGGUACCUAAUCAGAAAGCCACGGCUAACUACGUG
rnacentral:rRNA from 1 species